rnacentral:rRNA from 1 species
CAAGAGCGUAUGUAAAAGUUGUUGCAGUUAAAAAGCUCGUAGUUGAACCUUGGGUUUGGUCGGCCGGUCCGCUUUUUUGCGAGUACUGGAUUCAACCGAGCCUUUCCUUCUGGCUAACCAGUCGUUUCGGCGGCUGGCGAACCAGGAUUUUUACUUUGAGAAAAUUAGAGUGUUCAAAGCAGGCAUUAGCUUGAAUAUAUUAGCAUGGAAUAAUAGAAUAGGACGUUAUGGUUCUAUUUUGUUGGUUUCUAGGACCAUCGUAAUGAUUAAUAGGGACGGUCGGGGGCAUCAGUAUUCAGUUGUCAGAGGUGAAAUUCUUGGAUUUACUGAAGACUAACUACUGCGAAAGCAUUUGCCAAGGACGUUUUCAUUAA